rnacentral:lncRNA from 1 species
CGGCAGCGGGCGGUACGAAAGGCGGGAAGGGAGAGAUUUUACUUACUUACACCCCCACCCAGAGAGAGUGGAGGUCCGCGCGCGGUGAGACCGGCUAAUGCGAGGCCGGGUGCGAGGGAAAAGGAACGACGACAGCGGCGGUUAGGUAUUUCCCCCGUAGCGCGCGCGCAAAAGGCACCGUAACGAUUUUCUGCUCCUUCGAAGGAAUAUGAAAGGCGAUAUUUGCGCGAACCCAGCACACCGGGAGAACGAUGGGUAGAGUAGGGUGUACGGAGUACGCGGUGGAGGACGAGCAGGAGAGGCGGCGAGAUGAGGAAGGGAGGAAGGUGGCUGAGAUAGAGGGUAGCUCGGCGUCGUCUCGCUCUCGCACCCCCACCGUCUCAUCCGCUCUCGUUUCCUCUAAUGAUGGAAAGCGAGAGGCCGGGUCGCCCCGGCAAAUACCGCUCGGGUAGGAUUUAAGGGAUGAAAAGGGGCAGGAAGCCUUCUUUGCUGCCUCCGGGAGCUCUUUGAUGUCACCAGACGUGCCGCCUAAUUUUCAGGCCGUGUCAGCCUCGCGCGGCCGGAGCGGCUGUCCGGGAAUGAAAAAUUAUUAUCGCGAUCUCGGCGGGCCCGCGGCCGCGAGUGACUUUAUAAGCUUCAAAGCAGAUUCUUGAGAAACCGUAGGGAAGAUUAUCAGAGUUUCCAUUGAAAUUCUUGAGUCGAUGUUUGGAAUACCGUAAACAUGAUGCACACCGGUGCAUCGAUAUUGUUCAACUAUAUAAGCUUUAUUAUAAUGUUAUUAGUGCACUUGUUAUAAUCAAAGUUGCAAUCUUGCAGUUUGAUCGACUGCGCGCCAAUCGACUGCAUAAAUAUAGAUACGAAAACCAUACAUUUUUUUCUAAACUAUAAUUUUAAACUAUUUUUUUCCUGGAACAAAUACAAUGCUAAAAAAUAUUAAUAAAUUCCAUAAAAAACUUUAUUACUUUUUUUGAUUGUAAUCUUAUACUCUUAACCAAACUAAAUCAAAUUCAUUUCCAAAAAUUAUAAUUUUAAAUAAAUUUGAAAAUUGGGAUAAUUUGAAUAAAUGUCUUGUUAAUAAGAAUUAUUUGGACAAAAAAGAUAUAAAAUGUAAUAAUUAUCAAAAAAUAACUCAGGAAGAUAAAUCAGGAACUCGGAAAAGGAUUAUUAUUUUUCCAUUUUCCUUACAGAGAACGAUGAUGCCACAACCAAUGCAUUCUCCGCGUCGUUUAAGACAAAAGCUCGCGGGGAUGGUUCGAGGGGGUGCAAGGGGUGACAAGGGGAAGGUGUAUGGAUGGCGAAGAAGAGGUACGCCCGGGUGGGAGCUGCCUCAUUCCCGGCUGGAGACUUAGAGUUGAUAAAUCUCGACCUAAGGAUUGUCACUGGCGAGAAUGAUUUCAAAGGUCCACACACGCGAAACUGUCGAACGCGGGAUAAAAUCGUAAACUGACCAAGGGCGAGAGUCGUGUCCAGGAACUUGGUCAGUGGCCGUACCCCACUCUUGUCUCCCCCCGAGUGACCGGCGGCCCCCGGAUAUGUGGGAAAGAAAACCAGUUUCGCACCGGAUAGCGUACCAAGGAAGAUGGACAAUCGGCUGUAGGUCAAUCUGACUCGGACUUGCAAGCGGAAGAAAAAAAGAAGCGACGGAGACGAGACGUAAACCUGUUCCGGGUCAAUCCGAGGGCCCCGUUGACCCAGAGAAGGGUCCGAGGUUCUUGCCCUAUCUGUGUGAAAGUUGCAUGCUUCCACAGAUUGCAGCAAAAUAUCAUAGUAUCAUAUAAUACACACAAACUACUGAUAUUUGGAAAAAUGCGAUUAAAAAUUGUAGUUUUCUUUUAUUGUAUAAUUAUAAAAUAAAAUUCUUAUAUCAAAUAAAA